rnacentral:rRNA from 1 species
CCUACGGGGUGCAGCAGUAGGGAAUUUUCGUCAAUGGGCGCAAGCCUGAACGAGCAAUGCCGCGUGAACGAGGAAGGUCUUCGGAUCGGAAAGUUCUGUUGAAGGGGAAACAGAGCGGAGAGAGGAAAUGGUCUCCGAUUGAUAUUACCCUUCGAGGACGUCACGGCUAACUACGUGCCAGCAGCCGCGGUAAUACGUAGGUGGCGAGCGUUAUCCGGAUUGAUUGGGCGAAAAGGGUGCGUAGGCGGCCUGCUAAGUCUGGAGUGAAAGGUACCGGCUCAACCGGUACAGGCUCUGGAAACUGGCGGGCUAGAGAGCAGGAGAGGGCGGUGGAACUCCAUGUGUAGCGGUAAAAUGCGUAGAUAUAUGGAAGAACACCAGUGGCGAAGGCGGCCGCCUGGCCUGUUACUGACGCUGAGGCACGAAAGCGUGGGGAGCAAAUAGGAUUAGAUACCCGAGUAGUC